rnacentral:rRNA from 2 species
CCCUUCGGGGUGACGCUUGUGGAACGAGCGGCGGACGGGUGAGUAACACGUGGGCAACCUGCCUGUAAGAUUGGGAUAACUCGCGGAAACGUGAGCUAAUACCGAAUAAUACUUUUUGUCUCCUGGCAAGAAGAUGAAAGGCGGCUUUUAGCUGUCACUUACAGAUGGGCCCGCGGCGCAUUAGCUAGUUGGUGAGGUAACGGCUCACCAAGGCGACGAUGCGUAGCCGACCUGAGAGGGUGAUCGGCCACACUGGGACUGAGACACGGCCCAGACUCCUACGGGAGGCAGCAGUAGGGAAUCUUCCGCAAUGGACGAAAGUCUGACGGAGCAACGCCGCGUGAGUGAUGAAGGUUUUCGGAUCGUAAAACUCUGUUGUCAGGGAAGAACAAGUGCGAGAGUAACUGCUCGCACCUUGACGGUACCUGACCAGAAAGCCACGGCUAACUACGUGCCAGCAGCCGCGGUAAUACGUAGGUGGCAAGCGUUGUCCGGAAUUAUUGGGCGUAAAGCGCUCGCAGGCGGUCUUUUAAGUCUGAUGUGAAAGCCCACGGCUUAACCGUGGAGGGUCAUUGGAAACUGGAGGACUUGAGUACAGA